ACCCGGCUCCAGAGUACAAGUCCCCUCCAUCUUAUUCUUAUCCCACUCCAGAGUACAAGUCUCCUCCAUCUUACUCGUACCCGGCUCCAGAGUAUAAGUCUCCUCCAUCUUACUCGUACCCGGCUCCAGAGUACAAGGCUCCUCCCACGGUUCCUUCGUCUCCAGCUCCGGUUUACAAGCCUCCCACGGUUCCUUCCACUCCAGCUCCGGUUUACAAGCCUCCCACGCCUUCUCCCGUCUACAAGCCUCCCACUCCGGUUUACAAGCCUCCGACUCCUUCUCCGGUGUACAAGUCUCCUCCGCCUCCGUCGUCGGGCUACUAGCGCGAGCGAAGUGAAAGCA
rnacentral:lncRNA from 1 species